rnacentral:rRNA from 1 species
CUGCCCAAAAGAGGGGGAUAACACUUGGAAACAGGUGCUAAUACCGCAUAACCAUAGUUACCGCAUGGUAACUAUGUAAAAGGUGGCUAUGCUACCGCUUUUGGAUGGGCCCGCGGCGCAUUAGCUAGUUGGUGGGGUAUAGGCUUACCAAGGCAAUGAUGCGUAGCCGAACUGAGAGGUUGAUCGGCCACAUUGGGACUGAGACACGGCCCAAACUCCUACGGGAGGCAGCAGUAGGGAAUCUUCCACAAUGGGCGAAAGCCUGAUGGAGCAACGCCGCGUGGGUGAAGAAGGUCUUCGGAUCGUAAAACCCUGUUGUUAGAGAAGAAAGUGCGUGAGAGUAACUGUUCACGUUUCGACGGUAUCUAACCAGAAAGCCACGGCUAACUACGUGCCAGCAGCCGCGGUAAUACGUAGGUGGCAAGCGUUAUCCGGAUUUAUUGGGCGUAAAGGGAACGCAGGCGGUCUUUUAAGUCUGAUGUGAAAGCCUUCGGCUUAACCGGAGUAGUGCAUUGGAAACUGGGAGACUUGAGUGCAGAAGAGGAGAGUGGAACUCCAUGUGUAGCGGUGAAAUGCGUAGAUAUAUGGAAGAACACCAGUGGCGAAAGCGGCUCUCUGGUCUGUAACUGACGCUGAGGUUCGAAAGCGUGGGUAGCAAACAGGAUUAGAUACCCUGGUAGUCCACGCCGUAAAC